rnacentral:rRNA from 1 species
GAUGAACGCUGGCGGCGUGCCUAAUACAUGCAAGUCGAGCGAACAGACGAGGAGCUUGCUCCUCUGACGUUAGCGGCGGACGGGUGAGUAACACGUGGAUAACCUACCUAUAAGACUGGGAUAACUUCGGGAAACCGGAGCUAAUACCGGAUAAUAUAUUGAACCGCGUGGUUCAAUAGUGAAAGACGGUUUUGCUGUCACUUAUAGAUGGAUCCGCGCCGCAUUAGCUAGUUGGUAAGGUAACGGCUUACCAAGGCAACGAUGCGUAGCCGACCUGAGAGGGUGAUCGGCCACACUGGAACUGAGACACGGUCCAGACUCCUACGGGAGGCAGCAGUAGGGAAUCUUCCGCAAUGGGCGAAAGCUUGACGGAGCAACGCCGCGUGAGUGAUGAAGGUCUUCGGAUCGUAAAACUCUGUUAUUAGGGAAGAACAAAUGUGUAAGUAACUAUGCACGUCUUGACGGUACCUAAUCAGAAAGCCACGGCUAACUACGUG